rnacentral:rRNA from 1 species
AGCGAACGCUGGCGGCAGGCCUAACACAUGCAAGUCGAACGAAGUCUUCGGACUUAGUGGCGGACGGGUGAGUAACACGUGGGAACGUGCCUUUAGGUUCGGAAUAACUCAGGGAAACUUGUGCUAAUACCGAAUGUGCCCUUCGGGGGAAAGAUUUAUCGCCUUUAGAGCGGCCCGCGUCAGAGUAGCUAGUUGGUGAGGUAAAGGCUCACCAAGGCGACGAUCAGUAGCUGGUCUGAGAGGAUGAUCAGCCACAUUGGGACUGAGACACGGCCCAAAGUCCUACGGGAGGCAGCAGUGGGGAAUCUUGCGCAAUGGACGAAAGCCUGACGCAGCCAUGCCGCGUGAAUGAUGAAGGUCUUAGGAUUGUAAAAUUCUUUCACCGGGGACGAUAAUGACGGUACCCGGAGAAGAAGCCCCGGCUAACUUCGUGCCAGCCGCCGCGGUAAAAC